rnacentral:rRNA from 1 species
UACGAAGGGGGCUAGCGUUGCUCGGAAUCACUGGGCGUAAAGGGCGCGUAGGCGGCCUGAUCAGUCGGGGGUGAAAGCCUGUGGCUCAACCACAGAAUGGCCUCGAUACUGUCAGGCUUGAGACCGGAAGAGGUAAGUGGAACUGCGAGUGUAGAGGUGAAAUUCGUAGAUAUUCGCAAGAACACCAGUGGCGAAGGCGGCUUACUGGCCGGACGUAC